rnacentral:rRNA from 1 species
GAUGAACGCUGGCGGCGUGCUUAACACAUGCAAGUCGAACGGACAGGCCCUGCUUUUGUGGGGUGCUCGAGUGGCGAACGGGUGAGUAACACGUGAGUAACCUGCCCUUGACUUUGGGAUAACUUCAGGAAACUGGGGCUAAUACCGGAUAGGAGCUCCUGCUGCAUGGUGGGGGAUGGAAAGUUUCGGCGGUUGGGGAUGGACUCGCGGCUUAUCCGCCUGUUGGUGGGGUAGUGGCUUAACAAGGCCUUGACGGGUAGCCGGCCUGAGAGGGUGACCGGCCACAUUGGGACUGGGAUACGGGCCAGACUGCUACGGGAGGAAUCGGUGGGGAAUAGUGCACAAUGGGCGGAAGCCUGAUGCAGCAACGCCGCGUGCGAGAGGACGGCCGUCGGGUUGUAACCCGCAUCCGCCUGUGACGAAGCGAGAGUGACGGUAAUGGGUAAAGAAGCACCGGCUAACUACGUG